CUUUCAAACAGCUGCAUCCCAUUCCUGGGCUCAGCAGAGGGACUUGAUUUUCGAACCCUGCUCCUAGAUGAGGAGAGGGGCCGGCUGCUAGUUGGGACGAAGGACCACAUCUUCCAGUUCAACUUGGUUGAUGUAAACAAAAAUGUAAAAAAGAUUUACUGGCCUGCAGCAAAAGAAAAGGUAGAAUUAUGCAAAUUAGCUGGGAAAGAUGCCCAGACAGAUUGUGCCAAUUUUAUCCGUGUUCUUCAGCCGUACAACUGGACCCAUGUUUAUGUCUGUGGCACAGGAGUGUUUCACCCUCUGUGUGGAUACAUUGAACUUGGAACUCACUAAGGGGUAAUUUAAAUUUCUCACUAGUGUGACAUGUCAAGGAAUAGCCCUCAUCUUGUUUAGCAUUCAUCAUAGAUUGGAAAAUUGUUGGAAUCUGUGGGUAUUGAUGAUUCCAAGAUUGUAGAAAGUCUCUGUCUUUCUGCCCCGUUGCCAAAGAAGAAGCCAUAAUUCGUCUGUGCUGUUUUCAAGGUUGUUUAUUCUU